rnacentral:rRNA from 1 species
GACGAACGCUGGCGGCGUGCUUAACACAUGCAAGUCGAACGGAAAGGCCCUGCUUUUGUGGGGUGCUCGAGUGGCGAACGGGUGAGUAACACGUGAGUAACCUGCCCUUGACUUUGGGAUAACUUCAGGAAACUGGGGCUAAUACCGGAUAGGAGCUCCUGCUGCAUGGUGGGGGUUGGAAAGUUUCGGCGGUUGGGGAUGGACUCGCGGCUUAUCAGCUUGUUGGUGGGGUAGUGGCUUACCAAGGCUUUGACGGGUAGCCGGCCUGAGAGGGUGACCGGCCACAUUGGGACUGAGAUACGGCCCAGACUCCUACGGGAGGCAGCAGUGGGGAAUAUUGCACAAUGGGCGGAAGCCUGAUGCGGCAACGCCGCGUGCGGGAUGACGGCCUUCGGGUUGUAAACCGCUUUAGCCUGUGACGAAGCGUGAGUGACGGUAAUGGGUAAAGAAGCACCGGCUAACUACGUG